AAUAAACUAGUUAAAACAAAUAACAUUAGAAUGUCAUUCUAAAAUUACAAUAAGUGUUUAUUA
rnacentral:tRNA from 1 species